ensembl:lncRNA
GGAGAGAGUGGUUUAUAUUACUCUCUAAGCUAAAAUUGUAAAAAGCAAACAAGAGGGAAGAAGAUGUGUAGCUUUCAGCAGUGUUGAGGCCCCUGGCUCCAACUACCGUAGCCAGAUUGCCCUGCCCUGCCUGCACAUUUGGAUGUUCUUUGCAUGUCAGUAAUACAUCUACUAAAGCUGCAGCUGUGUUGUGCACUGAGAAGAGUUAUGAAGGUGGUGAUCAAGUCCCAACAGACACACAGGGGUGCACAGAAGAAGUCAGUCAGUACGAAGCACUAUCUUGCCACCUCCGGUAUCUCUGGCGCCCAAGUUUUCUUGAGACCAACACACAUGCCAGAUCACAGCUAUGAGUGAUUUGUAACCAAGUGAUAACUAAGUUCAAAUUAACAGUAAGUAAAUGUCACUAGCUUUAUCUUGGUGACGUAAAUAAAGGAUGGGUGUGGUGAGUAAGUUCUGUCCAAAAAAGGUUUCUAAUUUAUUCUUCCCACUGCAGUUGUUUUCCAGUUAGUACCAAUCUAGUAACAGUAGAGUUUAGUAUUUUCUUUCUCAGUUUUCAGACUUGCCUCUGAAAUCUCAUUCUUUCGUAGAUCCUUCUCUGUUUUUUCCUACAAAGGUAUCUAUAUUUGUUUCCAUUCUCAGUUUUUAACAUUUACUUCUGUUAAAUCUUUCAGCUCUUCUGUGUUUCUGUGCUUCUGCAAGAGCAUGUAGCCAGUGCUCUUUGAAGGCCAUGUGGGUUGACAUUCAUAUUUACAUACACUGAUAGUGCUCUAAGAGUUGGUGAAUCCUGAAGAGUAAAAAAUAAUUGUCAAUGAUAAAAUUUCAGACCUUCCCUGUAUGAUAAUCUGCCAUUCCUUGCUGUACCUCCCUCAGCACACUGGCAAUGGACAGGCAAGCAGUGCUGCCUUCCAACAGGUGGCUGUACCAAGGUACCAAGGCAGGG